rnacentral:rRNA from 1 species
UACGUAGGUCGCAAGCGUUAUCCGGAAUUAUUGGGCGUAAAGAGUGAGCAGGCGGCAUGGUAAGUCUGGAGUGAAAGCGUGGGGCUUAACCCCAUACAGCUUUGGAUACUACCAAGCUAGAGUACGUCAGAGGUUAACAGAACUCCAUGUGUAGCGGUGAAAUGCGUAGAUAUAUGGAAGAAUACCAGUGGCGAAGGCGGUUAACCAGGACGAUACUGACGCUCAGUCACGAAAGCGUGGGGAGCAAAUA